AUUGAACGCUGGCGGCAUGCCUUACACAUGCAAGUCGAACGGCAGCGCGAUUGAGAGUAAUCUUAAUUGGCGGCGAGUGGCGAACGGGUGAGUAAUACGUAGGAAUAUGCCUUAAAGACUGGGAUAGCCUUGGGAAACUGAGGGUAAUACCGGAUGAGCUCUGCGGAGGAAAGGCUGGGGACCGAAAGGCCUGGCGCUUUAAGAGUAGCCUACGUCCGAUUAGCUAGUUGGUGGGGUAAAGGCCUACCAAGGCGACGAUCGGUAGCUGGUCUGAGAGGAUGGACAGCCACACUGGGACUGAGACACGGCCCAGACUCCUACGGGAGGCAGCAGUGGGGAAUAUUGGACAAUGGGGGCGAACCCCUGAUCCAGCGAUGCCGCGUGUGUGAG
rnacentral:rRNA from 1 species